AUGACGGUACCGGAGGCGGUGGCACUAGACAUACCGGCGGAAGAGGGUUCGCCGGUGGCCAGGGUGCCGCGGCGGAUCAGGAGGAGGCUCCUCCAGGCGCGUGAGUCAAGCGCCGACGCGCCGGCAACCGCCGAAGAGAUCGAGAGCAAGCUCCGCGACGCCCAACUCCGGAGGCAGCAAUUCCAUGAAACAUUAUCAUGCAAAGCAAGACAUGCGGUCAGGAGCACUUCACAGCCAUCUCAGGAGGAUCCCAAGCAACGCCUUGAAGCGAAGCUUGUGGCUGCUAAGCAGAAGAGGUUGAGCCUCUUGGAGAAAGAGCAGAAUCGUUUAGCUAAAUCGGAUGAGCUGCGUCAGGCUGCUAAGAAGGAUGCAGAAAUGAGGUUCAACAGGGAAAGGAAGGAGCUUGGCAUGAGAGUUGAGCAUCGGGUACAGCAAGCGGAGGAGAACCGUAUUCAACUCUUGCAUGCUCGUUUGCAGAGGCGAGCUGCGCUGGAGGAAAGGACAAAAAAGUUCUUUGGGCAAAGAGUGACAUCAGAGAAUAAGUACAGGGAGACAACAGCGGUGUUGGCUGCGGCCUUUGACGUGCUGGGAAUAAAUCAGGAAUCUGCUAAUUCUCUGCCAUUUGAAAAACUAGCCCUCUGUAUUGAAUCUACAAAAGUUCUUCAGACCACCAGGGCAUUGCUUGAUUGCUUGGAGAGUCGUUUUAUUCUUUCUCAGACAUCAAGUUCAUGCACACCAGAAAAUAUCGAUCAUCUGCUCAAGCACCUGGGAUCACCAAAUACGAGAAUCCUACCAAGUAGUGCAGCAAGAGCUAGAGUAACACCGAAAAGGACAACUAAAAAUUCUGACGCUGGCAAGUUACCUAGAUAUUCACCAAGGGUAGUGCUUUGUGCUUACAUGAUUCUAGGUCAUCCAGGCGCUGUUUUUAAUGUACAAGGCGAGCGAGAGAAACUACUUGUGGAGUCAGCAACAAACUUUGUGAAGGAAUUUGAACUGCUGAUGAAGACAAUACUUGAUGGGUUAGAUGGUGCAUGCAUAUUGCAGCAGUCUACAUUAGGUGCAGUCUCUCCUGGAUCUUCUAAUAACCAGGAGUGUUCUUCAAUUGCUGCAGAUCAAACAAAAUUCAGAUCUCAGCUGGCUUCUUUUGAUAAAGCUUGGUGUGCUUAUCUUUACCACUUUGUGGUGUGGAAAGCAAAAGAUGCCAAGUCGCUAGAGGUAGAUCUCGUGACAGCUGCAUGCAAGCUUGAGCUCUCAAUGAUGCAAACAUGCAAAGUAACUACUGAAGGCCGGUCAGAUAGCCUUAAUUAUACUAAUAUUAAUUCGACAGCCAUCCAGAAACAGGUUAUGGUAGACCAGAAACUUCUAAGGGAGAAGGUUUGGCACCUAGGUGGUGAAGCUGGUAUUGAGAGGAUGGAACUUGCUUUAUCAGAAACAAGGUCAAAGUUCAUUGGAGCCAAGGAAAAUAGGAGCCCCUUGGCAACAUCAGAUGCAAAUGUCGCAUCUCUUUCUGGACAGUCUCUUCUUUCUGACACCAAAGAUAAUUUGGGUACAGAUGGUGAAAGGCUAGGUAGAGUUGUUCAAUCUUUGUCCAAAGCUUCUUCUUCAACGUCUCAAAGUAACAUUAGAGACAACGGUGGUCAAAUGAGCAGCACAGGGUCAGGAGAGCUGCCAACAGAGAAUGAGCUUGUCGGAUAUUUGUUGAAAGCUUCCCCUUCACCAUCUGAAAGUAACUCAGGAGACAAGGUCAUCAGCAGCCAAAUGAGCAGAGCGGUGCCAGAAAAGCUGCCAACAGAGAAUGAACAAAUGGUCAAUGAGAUUUUGCAUGGUUCUUUUUCUGAUAGCUCUGAUGACGUUGGUAAAGUUGAGGGGGAUUUCAAGGCACAAGUUAGGGAAACAAUGGAGAAAGCUUUCUGGGAUGUGGUUGUGGAUUCAAUGAAAGGAGACACACCAGAUUACAGUUAUCUGGUCAACCUAGUAAAGGAAGUCAGGGAUGCAUUGCAGCAGAUGGCUAGUAAAGGGUGGAAAGAAGAAAUAGCAAACAAUAUUAACAUCGAAAUAUUGUCCCAGGUACUUGAGUCGAGCACCCAGGGCACACAAUAUUUGGGGCAGAUUCUGCAGUACUCUCUGGGCAUGCUGCGUAAAUUAUCUUCUCCUGCAAAGGAAGACGAAAUGAAGAUCAGUCAUGACAAAUUAUUGAACGAAUUGAUCGGACACUCUGAUUCUCAUGAUAGAGAUCCAAAUGCAUUUGUAAUAGCUGUCAUCAAGGGCUUGCGGUUCACUAUGGAAGAGUUAAAGGCUCUUCAGUCUGAAGUCAGUAGAGCACGAAUCCAACUACUGAAACCAAUUAUAAAGGGCUCAGGUGGGGUCGAGUACCUGCAGAAAGCUUUUGCCGAUCGCUAUGGAUCCCGUUCCAAUGCAUUAGUUUCUCUCACUUCAACUAUUCAGUGGAUUUCUACCUCAAAGGAUAUGGUAGAAGAAGAAUGGAAUGAACAUGUCAGCUCCUUACAGAUCCUGCCUGCAUCAGACCAUGUUCAGCCAUUGGUUACGACCCUCCGAGCUGGUCGUGGAACUCCAGAUCAGCAACAAUCUACAGUGCCUGUAGCAGGAAGUACAGAGAUACUACCAGAGUGCUCGGGAGAAAUGCUCGACAGGCUAGUAAGGAUUGGGCUGUUACAGCUUAUCAGCAGGAUGGAGGGCAUGGAAAGAAAAUCAGUACCUGAGACAUUUAAGCUCAAUUGGUUGAGGUUGCGUGGUGUCCAGAGUCAGUUCCAACAAGUGAUUGUUAUCGCAACAAGCAUGCUUGUCCAGCGUCAAGUAUUGAUGAGUGAGGACUCAAAGGCCACUUCCUCAGAACUGGAAAAUGUUACCUUGGAACUGUUCAACACGCUCGCAGAGCUAUUAGACAGUUUUUCUGAUGUUGGCACGGAUCAGAUCAUCGAGGUGAUGGUCCGUUCGUCGACCUCGGCCGGCCCUUGUUCGGAUGAAAUGGUUGAGAACAGGAAGCAGAUAUUGAGCAGGGUCUUCCUCAAAAGCCUCCAGACUGAUGACACUGUCUUCAGGAAGGUGUCUCGAUCUGUUUACUGCGCGUUCCGUGCAGUCGCCCUGGGUGGCAACGGGACGAAGGGCAGGAAACUCGCCGAGGCGGCCCUGGGGCGCAUCGGAGCGACAAAGUUGACCGACCGCGUAGUGAAGGCAGCGGAAGUGCUGAUCAGAGUAGCAACAAUAUCAGAGCAGGUUCAUGGCCCGUGGUACAGUCAUCUCCUGUAA
rnacentral:rRNA from 1 species